UACGGAGGGUCCAAGCGUUAUCCGGAAUCAUUGGGUUUAAAGGGUCCGUAGGCGGUUUUGUAAGUCAGUGGUGAAAGCCCAUCGCUCAACGGUGGAACGGCCAUUGAUACUGCAAGACUUGAAUUAUUGGGAAGUAACUAGAAUAUGUAGUGUAGCGGUGAAAUGCUUAGAUAUUACAUGGAAUACCAAUUGCGAAGGCAGGUUACUAUCAAUAUAUUGACGCUGAUGGACGAAAGCGUGGGGAGCGAACAGG
rnacentral:rRNA from 1 species